GGAGGGGGCGCCGCAAUGCUUACACCCCCUCUGAGUCCCGAUGCGCACAGGUCCCUUCGUCGGAGCAGCACAAGGCUGCGGUGUGAUGAAACUGAAAAUAAACUACAGCUCCCAGAAGCCCUUGCUGCGGGAGCUGUAGUUUACUUUCAGUUUCUUCUAUGUGGACAUUCUUGUGCUACCUGUUGUGCCCUAAGAGGGGGCACAGGGAACAAGUUACCCCAGCCCCCCCUGCUGCCUUUGAUCACCGCAGCAGUGCACUAUUGCACUGCUGAGCUGGAAAAAUUAAUGACUGCAGCCUAAGGUCCGAAAAAGGGGCGGAGCUACACGGCACUGUGCUCACAGUGACAGACCAGCCAACACCAUCGAAGAGAGGAGGGGAGAAGACCAGCAGCACACAGCACAGCCUAAAUAAUUUGCACCCCUGAUGAAGUCCUAAGGGACGAAAUGCGUUGGAUUUCAACGAUUGUGCGUUUCCUUACAUUGGUGAACAGAUCAUACAUGCUUUCUCAUGCUGAGGAAUAAGUAUCUUACCUAAUGAUUGAAAACACCUUACAAUAGAUGAUCAGAAAUGAAUGUAUUACUCAAGUGACAUGUGUGAUCCUGUGAUUCAUGUUAUGGAAGUAUAUAUGUAAUAUGCUUUUUAAUAAAUGAUUUUAUAAAUUAA